rnacentral:rRNA from 1 species
AUUGAACGCUGGCGGCAGGCCUAACACAUGCAAGUCGAGCGGAGCGGCGGACGGGUGAGUAAUGCCUAGGAAUCUGCCUGGUAGUGGGGGAUAACGUCCGGAAACGGGCGCUAAUACCGCAUACUAUCAGAUGAGCCUAGGUCGGAUUAGCUUGUUGGUGGGGUAAAGGCCUACCAAGGCGACGAUCCGUAACUGGUCUGAGAGGAUGAUCAGUCAAACUGGAACUGAGACCCGGUCCGGCCUCCUGCGGGAGGGAGCAGUGGGGAAUAUUGGACGAUGGGCGAAAUCCUGAUCCAUCCAUGCCGCGUGUGUGAAGAAGGUCUUCGGAUUGUAAAACACUUUAAGUUGGGAGGCGUUACCAACAGAAUAAGCACCGGCUAACUUCGUGCCAGCAGCCGCGGUAAUUC